rnacentral:rRNA from 1 species
CGGAUCGUAAAACUCUGUUAUUAGGGAAGAACAUAUGUGUAAGUAACUGUGCACAUCUUGACGGUACCUAAUCAGAAAGCCACGGCUAACUACGUGCCAGCAGCCGCGGUAAUACGUAGGUGGCAAGCGUUAUCCGGAAUUAUUGGGCGUAAAGCGCGCGUAGGCGGUUUUUUAAGUCUGAUGUGAAAGCCCACGGCUCAAC